rnacentral:tRNA from 1 species
CCGCUCUUGGCAUAGUGGCUGUGCACCUGGCUUUUAACCAGGUGACGGGAGUUCGAUUCUCUCAGGGCGGACCA